rnacentral:rRNA from 1 species
GACGAACGCUGGCGGCGUGCUUAACACAUGCAAGUCGAACGGAAAGGCCCUGCUUGCAGGGUGCUCGCGUGGCGAACGGGUGAGUAACUCGCAGGUGAUCUGCCCCCUUAUUUGGGUUAAGCCUGGGAAACUGGGUCUAAUACUGGCUAGGAACAUGCUGUAUGUGGUGUGGUGGAUAGAUUAGUUUCGGUUAGGGAUGAGCUCGAGGCCUAUCAGCUUGUUGGUGGGGUAAUGGGCUACCAAGGCCUCGACGGGUAGCCGGCCUCAGUGGGUGUGCGGCCACGUCGGGACUGAGACGCGGGGCAGACUCAUACGGGAGGCAGCAGUGGGGAAUAGCGCGCAAUAGGCGCAAGGCUGAUGCAGCGACGCUGCGUGGGGGAUGACGCCCUUCGGGUUGUGAACACCAUAUGGGCAAGUCGAAGCGCUUGUCGUGACGGUAGUGGUAGAAGAAGCACCGGCUAACUACGUG